rnacentral:ncRNA from 2 species
ACCAGGAAGCCGGUGUGAAUCCGGCGCGGUCCCGCCACUGUGACCGGGAAGCGUUCCUCCCGCACGCCACGUCCGUGAUCGCGGACGGGAAGGCGGAGGCGGAGGCGAGCGUCGAUCCGGGAGUCAGAGACUG